rnacentral:rRNA from 1 species
CUGGAACUGAGACACGGUCCAGACUCCUACGGGAGGCAGCAGUGGGGAAUAUUGCACAAUGGGCGCAAGCCUGAUGCAGCCAUGCCGCGUGUAUGAAGAAGGCCUUCGGGUUGUAAAGUACUUUCAGCGGGGAGGAAGGGAGUAAAGUUAAUACCUUUGCUCAUUGACGUUACCCGCAGAAGAAGCACCGGCUAACUCCGUGCCAGCAGCCGCGGUAAUACGGAGGGUGCAAGCGUUAAUCGGAAUUACUGGGCGUAAAGCGCACGCAGGCGGUUUGUUAAGUCAGAUGUGAAAUCCCCGGGCUCAACCUGGGAACUGCAUCUGAUACUGGCAAGCUUGAGUCUCGUAGAGGGGGGUAGAAUUCCAGGUGUAGCGGUGAAAUGCGUAGAGAUCUGGAGGAAUACCGGUGGCGAAGGCGGCCCCCUGGACGAAGACUGACGCUCAGGUGCGAAAGCGUGGGGAGCAAACAGGAUUAGAUACCCU